CAGCACAGCCACCUUGGCACUGCCCUGGCUCUGGUCCCCUCCUGCAGCACAGCCACCCUGGCACUGCCCUGGCUCUGGUCCCCUCCUGCAGCACAGCCACCCUGGCACUGCCCUGGCUCCUGUUCAAUGAGACCGUAACCCUGGUCCCUUCCUGCCUGGUGCCACGGGCACGCACAGACCCAGUCCCCACUGCACUGGGUGCUGCAUACAGCUGUCCCUGCCACCAGCAGGGUCCGGGCUCAGCUGGGUGCUGCUCUUCAGCUGCCACGGUGCUGGGGAGCAGGGUCCGUGGGUGGGGUGGCACUGUGGCAUGGGGUAACGCUGCCCUCCCUCCGUGCUGUCCCCUGUGCAGGGUGGUGCUGUCGGUCAAUGACAAGUGGCACUACUGCCAGAACUCCGACAUCCUGGUGGGCUCCCGGGCCAUGCGGGACCGGCACCUGCGGCUGCUGGGAUACUGUCUGGUGCAGCUGCCCUACACGGAGCUGGAGAAGGUGAGUGGCAUCGAGGAGGCCAAGCACUACCUGCGGCAGAAGCUGAGGGAGCUGCGCUUCUGAGGGACGGAUCCGGGGGGUGUGGGGGGCCAGGUGGGUGCUGCCAGCCCCUUCCCCUGUGCCGGGGGAUACGGAGCUGCCCCCCAUCCCGGGGGGUCGGGGGAUAUGGAGAUGCUCCCCAUCUUGGGGAGCCAGGCUGUGGGGCCAGGCCGUGGGCACUGCUCCUGCUGUGGGGCUGGGGGAGUGUGAGAUUAUUUAUUGCCGUUAUGGGGGGCCGGGGUGUGACUUGGGGGGUGCCGAGGGUGGGGGGAGUUACUGGGGAAGGUCCCUCAUGGCCCCCCUGCCCUGGCUCUGCCACCUCAGCCUGGUCUGUUGCUGCUGCUGGGCCUGGGCUGGGCACCAGGGCUGUCCCUGUGUCCCCAGCAUGGCCCAGCCAGGACACUGGGGGCUGUCCCUGUGUCCCCAGCACAGCUGCUGGGCCAUGGCACUGGGCCUGGCCCCUCCAGGAUCCCAGGGGCUGUGGUGGAGAAUCUGUGCAGGGCCGGGAGCGGGUGUGCACAUGGGGCUGUUCCCAGGGCCUGGGCCUGGAGGAGGGGGGUGUUAGGGAAAGGGGAACUUUCCAAUAAAACUGGUGAAAAGUGUGCAAAGUCCGGUCUCUUUAUUAGUUGAAGGCAGCGGGGGGGCCCCAGCCCCCAGCCCGGUAGCCCCCAAGGGACUGCUCGGAGCAGGCUCCCCUGGCAGGGGGCUCUCCCAGCACCUCUGCCCUGGGCCCCAUGAUCGGAAUAAAGCUGUUUAUUGCCUUUGAAUUGCCUGAUCC
rnacentral:lncRNA from 1 species